rnacentral:rRNA from 1 species
AGCUCCAAGAGCGUAUAUUAAAGUUGUUGCAGUUAAAAAGCUCGUAGUUGGAUUUCUGGUAUAAUGCGCCUGGCCCGCUCCGUUUCGGAGUGAGUGCCGGUGCGCGUUUGCCAUCCUUCUAGAAAACGUUUCUACCCUUCGCUGGGCCGGAUUCGCGAUCUAGAUCUUUUACUUUGAAAAAAUUAGAGUGUUUAAAGCAGGCUUUUGCUAUGAAUACAUUAGCAUGGAAUAAUAAUCUAGGACUUCGGUUCUAUUUUGUUGGUUUCUAGUACUGAAGUAAUGAUUGAUAGGGAUAGUUGGGGGUGCUAGUAUUGACCGGCCAGAGGUGAAAUUCUUGGAUUCGGUCAAGACUAACUUAUGCGAAAGCAUUCACCAAGGAUGUCUUCUUUAAUCAAGAACG